AUGGCCUUCCAUGACAGUAGGGAGUUCAAGAAUGCAUUGGUCAAGUAUGGACUGAAAACAUAUCACCCCUUGUUAUUUCCAAAAGAUGAGAAAAAGAGAGUAAGUGCAAAAUGCAGUUGGCCUGGCUGUCCUUGGAGUAUUUAU
rnacentral:rRNA from 1 species